rnacentral:rRNA from 1 species
CUACGGGGGGCAGCAGUGGGGAAUAUUGCACAAUGGACGAAAGUCUGAUGCAGCAACGCCGCGUGGAGGAUGACACAUUUCGGUGCGUAAACUCCUUUUAUAUAGGAAGAUAAUGACGGUACUAUAUGAAUAAGCGCCGGCUAACUCCGUGCCAGCAGCCGCGGUAAUACGGAGGGCGCAAGCGUUACUCGGAAUCACUGGGCGUAAAGAGCGUGUAGGCGGAUAGAUAAGUCAGGAGUGAAAUCCUAUGGCUCAACCAUAGAACUGCUCUUGAAACUGUCUAUCUAGAAUAUGGGAGAGGUAGAUGGAAUUUCUGGUGUAGGGGUAAAAUCCGUAGAGAUCAGAAGGAAUACCGAUUGCGAAGGCGAUCUACUGGAACAUUAUUGACGCUGAGACGCGAAAGCGUGGGGAGCAAACAGGAUUAGAUACCCCGGUAGUC